CUUCUCUUCUCUCUCUGUAUUUGACCAAGCCGCCAGUUGCCCCCAAUUUCCCCUUCUGUCUUCGGCUUUGACUCUUUCCCUCCCAGCCACACGUGCCGUGAUCUUCAUUCUUUCUUCUUCAAGCAUUCUUCCCCCACCGAACUGCCUGCUUCUUCUUGAAUUGUUAUUAUUUUUCCUCUGCAUGACUUUGCCCCACUGACGUCGCCCUCCAAUGAUCAGCCCAAGCUUUCACUGCUACCGCACGUUCGAGUCUUCAAUUGUUCGAUCAACCAGCGAAACUGAAGCUACUUCUCCAGCUAUUUCGCUGACUGUAGCAGCUCACCGAACAGUUUGCAUGUCAGCCGCGUCUCCGCUGAGCAGCCCAUCUCGCGUCCUCUGUGGAUCAGCCGCACUGUAGCCUCACUGCAGCCCACAUCUCUCCGAACUUCAGUCGCCGUUUCACUCUCGUGGAACCGGAACAACAUGACCAGCAACAUAGGAACAGAAUUCCAGCCAAGUUGCAGGCUCGCCUACCCGAUUUCAGCUCGUUUCGGGUCUCUGUCGGCACCGCCACUUUGGGGUUUAUUGGCUGUCGUCGCAUCCCUAUCAUUUUGGUCCAAGCGGAUCGCAAAUCAAGUCCCUAGGGUGAAGAACCCGGAACUUGAGGUGGAAGGGUUAGGAACAUGGAUAGCUCAGAAGUUCUUCUCGGAGAUAAACCUCCUGUAUUUAGACCCUAGAGUUGGCCUCUAUUUGUAAACCAGAUUGUAAUUUUUAAUGAUGUGUUGAUUUGAAAAUUGUGGCCCUACUUUGCUA